CGCUAUCACUCCUACGGGGAGGCAGCAGUGGGGGAAUAUUGCACAAUGGGCGCAAGCCUGAUGCAGCCAUGCCGCGUGUGUGAAGAAGGCCUUCGGGUUGUAAAGCACUUUCAGUCGUGAGGAAGGUGGUAGUGUUAAUAGCACUAUCAUUUGACGUUAGCGACAGAAGAAGCACCGGCUAACUCCGUGCCAGCAGCCGCGGUAAUACGGAGGGUGCGAGCGUUAAUCGGAAUUACUGGGCGUAAAGCGCAUGCAGGUGGUUUGUUAAGUCAGAUGUGAAAGACCCGGGGCUCAACCUCGGAAUAGCAUUUGAAACUGGCAGACUAGAGUACUGUAGAGGGGGGUAGGAAUUUCAGGUGUAGCGGUGAAAUGCGUAGAGAUCUGAAGGAAUACCGGUGGCGAAGGCGGCCCCCUGGACAGAUACUGACACUCAGAUGCGAAAGCGUGGGGAGCAAACAGGAUUAGAUACCCUGGUAG
rnacentral:rRNA from 1 species